rnacentral:rRNA from 1 species
CUUGACAAAAUAUAAGAGGUCCAGCCUGCCCAGUGACUCUGUUUAACGGCCGCGGUAUCCUAACCGUGCGAAGGUAGCGUAAUCACUUGUUCUUUAAAUGAGGACUAGUAUGAAUGGCAUCACGAGGGUUAUACUGUCUCCCUUUUCUAAUCAGUGAAACUAAUCUUCCCGUGAAGAAGCGGGAAUAAAGCUAUAAGACGAGAAGACCCUAUGGAGCUUUAAACAAAAUAACAAUUGCUACUAUCAUUAUCUAUUUCAGAAGUUUAAAUUUUAUCUUAGCAUUAUGAUUAUUAGUUUUAGGUUGGGGUGACCGCGGAGUAAAAAUUAACCUCCGCAUUGAAAGGAUAAUUUCCUAAGCAAAAAGUUACGACUUUAUGCAUCAAUAAAUUGACAUUAAUUGACCCAAUAUUUUGAUCAACGAAC